CCUACGGGAGGCAGCAGUGGGGAAUAUUGGGCAAUGGGGGCAAGCCUGACGCAGCAACGCCGCGUGAAGGAAGAAGGCAUUCGGGUUGUAAACUUCUUUUGGCAGGGAAGAGUAGAAGACGGUACCUGACGAAUAAGCCACGGCUAACUACGUGCCAGCAGCCGCGGUAAUACGUAGGUGGCAAGCGUUGUCCGGAUUUACUGGGUGUAAAGGGCGUGUAGCCGGGUUGACAAGUCAGAUGUGAAAUCCUGCGGCUUAACCGCAGAACUGCAUUUGAAACUGUUGAUCUUGAGUACUGGAGAGGCAGAUGGAAUUCCUAGUGUAGCGGUGAAAUGCGUAGAUAUUAGGAGGAACACCAGUGGCGAAGGCGGUCUGCUGGACAGCAACUGACGGUGAGGCGCGAAAGCGUGGGGAGCAAACAGGAUUAGAUACCCGGGUAGUC
rnacentral:rRNA from 1 species